UACGUAGGGGGCAAGCGUUACUCGGAAUUACUGGGCGUAAAGCGUGCGCAGGCGGCUUUGUAAGUCUGGCGUGAAAGCCCCGGGCUCAACCUGGGAAUUGCGAUGGAGACUGCAAGGCUUGAAUCUGGCAGAGGGGGGUAGAAUUCCACGUGUAGCAGUGAAAUGCGUAGAGAUGUGGAGGAACACCGAUGGCGAAGGCAGCCCCCUGGGUCAAGAUUGACGCUCAUGCACGAAAGCGUGGGGAGCAAACAGG
rnacentral:rRNA from 1 species